rnacentral:rRNA from 1 species
GAUUAACGCUGGCGGCGUGUAUAACACAUGCAAGUCGAACGAUGAAACUUAACUGAUUUCUUCGGAAUGAUUUUAAGUGGAUUAGUGGCGGACGGGUGAGUAACGCGUGAGUAACCUGCCUUGGAGAAGGGGAUAGCCUUUGGAAACGAAGAAUAAUACCCUAUGAUAUGAUAAUAUCUCAUGAUAUUAUCAUCAAAGAUUUAUCGCUCUAAGAUGGACUUGCGUCUGAUUAGUUAGUUGGUGAGGUAACAGCUCACCAAGGCAGCGAUCAGUAGCCGGCUUGAGAGAGUGUACGGCCACAUUGGGACUGAGACACGGCCCAGACUCCUACGGGAGGCAGCAGUGGGGAAUUUUGCACAAUGGGGGAAACCCUGAUGCAGCGACGCCGCGUGAUUUAGAAGGCCUUCGGGUUGUAAAAAUCUUUUGUAUGGGAAGAAAAUGACAGUACCAUACGAAUAAGGACCGGCUAAUUACGUG